rnacentral:rRNA from 1 species
AGUGAACGCUGGCGGUAGGCCUAACACAUGCAAGUCGAACGGCAGCACAGUAAGAGCUUGCUCUUACGGGUUGCGAGUGGCGGACGGGUGAGGAAUGCAUCGGAAUCUUCUUUUUCGUGGGGGAUCACGUAGGGAGACUUACGCUAAUACCGCAUACGACCUACGGUUGAGAGCAAGGGAUCUUCGGACCUUGCGCGAUUGAAUGAGCCGAUGUCGGAUUAGCUAGUUGGCGGGUUAAUGGCCCACCCAGGCGACGAUCCGUAGCUGGUCUGAGAGGAUGAUAGGCCACAUGGGAACGGAGACACGGUCAAGACGCCUACGGGAGGCAGCAGUGGGGAAUAUUGGACAAUGGGCGCAAGCAUGAUCCAGCCAGACCGCGUGGGUGAAGAAGGCCUUCGGGUUGUAAAGCCCGUUUGUUGGGAAAGAAAAGCAGUAGGUUAAGACCCAGCGGUUCUGACGGUACCCAAAGAAUAAGCACCGGCUAACUUCGUG